CCCUUGUUACUCCCCACUAAAUCCUGCCUAUACCUUCAUUAAACUCUUCGAAUAACCCAUACUGAGUGUGCUGGACUCCGCUACAGAUGGUUUAUGCUGCAGUGCCAUUCUGUCCCUACCACCCACGUCCCCAUGCCAGAUAUAUUUUCUAAAUCUGUGGUGAGAAGAGACAGGAAGGGGAGAUAGGGGCCAUUUCCUACCACAGUUUCAGGCAUGAGUCUUCCAGCAUGCCCUUCUUGGAGAUUACAUGGGCAGCUUACCCUGGGGCAGCCAGACCUUCCAUCUUAGGUAACAGACCCCAGUGUUUAGGCCGUCUGCCCGUGUGGACUCUACACCAUUUCUCUCCCCUGAUGUAUGAGGACUGAAUGAAGAGAUGGCCCAUCUCAACGAGGCAAACAAAUAAAAAACAAGGUCACUAAUUCUGAAGAAGCAGAGUGAAAAGACAUCGACCUGAAACAGAGCAUUAAGAAGAGUCAAGAAAUGCAGCACUUCAGAAUAGGGCUCUCACAACAUCGAUAUGAAGCUGAAAAGUUACCCCAAAGCUGAGCAUCUUAAUGUUGAAGCAAUGCUGGUGAUCAUCGCCUGCAACUUUCCAUUUUGUUACCAUAUUCCUGAGAGGGGGACAACCAUCCUCUGAACACCAACAAGAACAGGGAGUUCUCUCUCAAGAGAGCAGCCCACCUCAUUCAACAGCUCUAAUAACUAAAAUGCCUGCAGUUAUAUAGGGGUAUGACUUGGUCAUUUGUCUUCCAGACACGGAAGAAGUACAUGGCCAUGCUCCCAUUAUCUAAAUUCAGCCACUAAAGAGCCCUGGGAGCAUCAUAGCAGCAGAUCAAACAGCAGAGAAUACUGCCCUGAUCCUCUGUGAUCCAUUGAGACUGGGAAAAAAGAAAAAACAAGACGACUGCAUCAAACCUAAGGAACUAGCCCUGGGUGGGUACAGGGAGAAGCAGAGAGACUUGCCUUCAGGUCUUCAGACUCACUUUGGGACCUACACCAGUGGUCACCACCCUGCUCUCUCCUCUCCCCUCUGAUCUCAGACCUUCAGACUCAGACUGGGAAUUACACAGUCAGCUCCUCUGCUUUUCCAGGUUGAAGUUGGCACAUUGUAGGACUUCUUGGCUUCCAU
rnacentral:lncRNA from 1 species